ensembl:lncRNA
AGCUUAUUCACCUCUUCUGGUGGCUGCUGUGUGCUCAGCCACACAGGAAAAGCAGUGUGUCCAUCUUUGUUUUUUAAGAGAUUCCUCAGAGCCAGUCCUUUGAUUCAGCCUUCAUCAAACAAUAUAAUUUCCUUACAUCCAGAUGCAAUUCUGCAAACUGAGUUCUAGGUCUGUCUGGAGCAAUUUUAACCAUGUCAGAACUUCAGAAGAAAAGGUAUCAGUCAUUUUUUGUUGGACUUUUACAACUUCCAAUCUCAAUGGGCCAUGCAACUUAAUCUCCCCUGUCCUGGCACUUUUGUGAUGGCUUCCUCAACUCCUGGGCUGGAUUUAAUCCUUUCCUGGUGAAUGUUUUUUGUGUUGCAAUGAUGUCUCCUUAAGCUGAGCCUACAAGUCAUGGACAUGAUGAUAACUUCAAGGGCUUUAUCCCCAACUACAGCAGGAAGAGAAGCACACAGAGGUGAGAUGUCAUCUUCAGCUCAGCAGCGGAACCGGGCCCAGGCUGUAAGAUGUGGGAUCAGUGUUUGCACUGUGUCCUGCUCUGUGCAUAUCUGGCCACUGGAGGAGGGCCCCGUGUCCUACCAGCAGCCCUUGUUGUCUCUGGAGCCCACUUCUUUGGACCCUUUUGUAAAGAGUAUAGCAAAUCUGCAUUGUGUUCCUUACGUGCUAACCAGCCCAAAUGUCUUUAAGGUUUGCAUGCCACUGUCCCGGAGGAAAAAGGUUUCUACAAUUGUUGCCACCUCUUCCCAGAGGUGCGCCAGCUUAUGCUGUGCAAUCUGCUGAGAUGUCUGCCCACAUCCCAGCUGCUGGCAGUUGUUCUCUAAGAAUCAGUCUGAAGCCAGGCAAGAAACCUCCACUUCCAGCUGUGGCAACUCCUCUGCUGAGAGGAGCUGCUCUGUCUGGCCCGAACAAGGUUUCAGAACCCUAAGCGAGUCCUUUGAGCUCCUUUGUUUAAGUACUAUCACAUUUAUAUACUAAGUUCUGUAUGCUGAACAAGUGAAGGAGCAAUUGCUGAGCCACAGUACUGAAAAGUAAGAAAACAGGACGCUGUUAAGAAAAAAAGUCUGCUCCUAUGCUGUGGCAAAUCCAUAGAAAACCUUGUGUAAGAGAGUAAGCAGGAUUUGACUUCCUAAACCUGGAGAGAAAAGUAGUUUGAGAUUGGCAGCAUAAGGGCUGGACCUGUGUAAGACACAGGAGAAGAAGUGCAAAUUGCAGAACGUCAAUGAGUGAUGUGGUCGGCGACAGACCUUACAGCAGCAGGAGACACACGAGCCAGGCGCCUGGCGGUGUUCUGCUGAACAGCUGCUGUUGUGAUGGACAACUUUCUUGUCGUGGAAAAGCAGGGGAAUUUUAGCCAUAAAGCUGAAGAGGUUAGUGAAGGGUGAAAUUGCUACUGGAGAAGUACCUCUUGGGGCCGUUGAGUUGAUUAACAUCCCCGCUAACCUCAGGCAUCCCAACUUUACAGCUCCUCUGGAAGCUCCUGACAGAAAGCAGCAGAACUAUUAAUGGCAUCUCCUCUGUGCUACUCAUGUGUGUGUCCUUGAAUAGUGACAGGAAGGAGCCCGGGGCUGCUGGAUUCCUCUGCGGCUGGGAGUGGCUGCUGUGGGCUGGGGGAACGCACUGAAAGCAGAUCCCGGCAUCACUUCCCAUGCUUUGCACUUCUCUGUGCAGCACACUUCUGCUGCUGGCGCACAUGGAGAGAGCGAUGCUCUUCAGACCCAAAGCAGUGCUCUUCAACCAAAAACGAGCUGGCAGCGCCAGAAAAUAAUGUGGUUUUUCCUCCUCCAGUUUGCGCAGCUGACAUGCUUUCAGCUUGAGAAGUUUAAACGUUUCAGGUGACUGUGCCAUUAGCUCAUUUUGUAGGAAGAAGUUGUGUAUAUGAAACAAGAACACAAAGGGA